AAUAAAUAAUUAAAAACUGAAAAAUUCAUAUCGCGCUAGGGUCUGGUAUAUAAUUACUAUCUUUGCAUCUCUUCAAAGUUCGAAACGUUGAAUCUUUUGUUCUUGUUGUUUAGAUAGGGGGUGAAGUCACAGCUGCUAAAGGGUUUAACGCUGCUGGUAUUUGUGCUGGGUUACGAGCUUCGGGGAAGAAGUCAGAUCUCGCUCUUGUAACCUGUGAUGUCAAUGUUGUCGCUGCAGGUUCAAUGCUGGGUUACGAGCUUCAGGGGUGUUGUUGUGAUUUCUCUCUUUUGCAGGUUUGUUAAUACCUUAACUUUGAUAACGGCUUGUUACGGUCUGGUCCACGUUCAUCUUCAUUUUCAGCUUUAGUACUGUUGACAUGAAACUUCUUCUUUCCCUUUUGAUUAUCACUUUGCUUCUUCUUCUUACCUUAGUAGCUUCUUUGCUUGUUCUGUUGUUUGUUGGAAGAGGACUCAUCAGCACACUUUCAUAGCUCCUUGGCAUGUUUAACUUCUCUGUUUUACUUGCACUUUGAACUGAUAUCACAAUGCUUCCUGACUCUUUUGCGUCCAGUGUAAGAACCUUUGCUGAUGUUGCAAUGUUGUUCCCUUCUUUCUUAGUUUUCGUUUCUGCUAAGUAGUUAAAAGUCUCUCUGCCUUUGCUCUGUUCUUGGCUAAAGUUUGUCUUUUUGCCUUGUUCUUGUUUCCAUCUCUAUGCUCUAUGUUACAAUUUUAAGUCUUUACUUGGCUAUAGUUUACUUUAUGUAUUUACUCAGUUUCUUGUCUGUUUUGGUCAUGAAGAACACUUGACUAAAGUUUUUGUCUUUGCUAUGUUCUUGUUGUGUUUUGACUUUCAGUUUUGGACCUAUCAACCAAGACCUCAACAACUUAAAAGGGUGACUUAAGUAUGUCUUCAAGACCACGAGAAUAUGAAAAUCUUGAUUAUGACAGUAAUGCUAGCAGAGUGAUGCUUCGAGAGCAUACCCUUCGAGACAAAUACCAUCCAAAUGGGUUCUUCGCUUAGCAUUUGACUUAUGGGUUUUGAUACUUGGAACUGCUUCUGGUGAAAUCAAGUGCAGACAACUUUUUCCAUUUCUCUAAAGUUAGUAGAUCGAUGGGUUACCCAGACAAGAUAUUAAAACUUGGCAAGAGUAGUUAUGUUGGUAGUAUAAGACUUGAGUGUAAGACUUGAAAAGAUUCUAUGUAAAAUAUAUGUUUUUAUAAAUUUAUUGAAUAUAAUUUAAGCUCAGUUCAUGGACUUGGAUCAAACCAAGGUUAAAAGUGAUGAACUUUUGUUUAAGGCAAGUGUAAAAUGAAAAAGUAAACGAAAUGUUAAAACCAAAUAUAAUUUUGUAAACCAAUAUUAGAACCGGUUAUGAUUUUGUAAGCACAUUCAGAUUUAUUAAAAUAUAUUUUGUUUAUUUGUAUGUUGUGAUUUUUAUUUUUUUAAACUAAACCCUAAACAUGUUUAAAAAGGGUAUUAUAUUUAGGGAGUAGUUUUAAGAUAUAGGUUUUAAACCCUAAACAUAAGCUUUAAACUUCAAUCUUUUCAUAAUAUAACUUCAAAUUUAAAACCUAUAUCUUAAAACUAUACCCUAAAUAUAAUACCCUAAACCCCAAAUUAAAACCCUACAUUCAAAGUCAUAAAUCUAAUCACUACAAAAAAUAUAAUUACUAAACUAGAACCUAUUCCUUAUAUAAACAAUAACUUUUUAAAUUUUAUUUUCAUAUAUUUAUCUUUACCACAAUUCUAUUUCACAAACCUCAAACCAUAUACUUUAAACUUAACUACAACUAUAUAAACUAAUAAUCAACAAUAGUGAUAUUAAUUAACAGAUUUUUAAAAUUAAUCUGUAAAUUUUGAUUAUAAAAACUUAAUUUUAUAUCAAACAUAAAUUUUUCAAAAUUACAAACCAAAAUUACAAAACAAAAUUUCCAAAAUUAAUCUGUAAAAUGUUGCUUCUUUAAUCUACAUCCUAAAUAUAUAUAUACCCUAAACCCCAAACUUAACCCCCAUACACAAAAUCAUAAAUCUAAUCUUUUCAAACUUAUAAAAUUUUAAACUUAAACUCCAAGUCUAUUUUAAAAUAAAACCAUAUACAUAACUCUAAAUCUAAACCCAAAACACUAUAUUCCAAACUCUAAACUCACUAAUCAUUUUGUUAAUCUUAUAUCAUUAAUUUUACUUAACUUAAAAUUGCUUAUAAAAAUGAAAUAUAAUCAUUUUGUUAAUUUUUAUAUCAUUAUUUAUUAUAAUUGUAAAUGUAUAACUUAAUUUCUAUAUAAUUAUUUAAAGUUAGACAUAAAUAAUUAUAGAUAAACAAAAAGAUAAUUUUGAUUAGCUUUUUUUGGGCCUUUGAUUGAUUUUGAUCCAAAAGCUCAAAAUCAUUCUCUUGCGAUCUAUGUCCUUCUUUCUGAUUGGUUGAAAUAGAAGAAGUAUGGAUUGUAAAUCUUAGCCAUGGAUUAGAUUAAAUCAAUGGACAAGAUCGACUCUUAUUGUGUUUCUUCUCUUACAUCCUACGCAGUUUUUUUGGCUUCUUCUUCUCCAUCCGUUUGUUCUCUCUCUUACACAAUGAAACCAACAAACAGAUUCAAACCCUAAACUCAUAAUCCGUAGAUUAGAUUAAACCAGACGUUGUUACCAUCUGGAUCUCGUCCUCAUCUGAAGUCUGAAGGUUACCAGCCGUGGAGGCGACGGCGUUACCAGCUGGGUUUGUCAUGUUCUCAUAGAAAGUCCUUGUCUUUGACUGGAUGCCAGGAGAUAUCUUGCCGGAGUCGGAACGAGCCGGAGUUAAGGAGGGAGCGGAGUUGGAGCUGUGUCAGAUUCUGUAGGCGGAGGAAGACGAUGAGACGAUGAUACGGGAAGGAGAUUGUAACAGCCCGAUCCCCCGGCGUCCGACCGGGGUUAUCGAAGAGGCGUUAUGGACACGUGUCUACUCAUUUAGCCAACCCUACGUGUCCCGUUACUGGUCCCGAGAGACGAGCGCAUAACCUUCUUUGAAAUACCGUCACACCCACAUCCAUAUACUUCUACUUACAGUCCUGCGCACAGGGAAAAAUGGAAAUGGAGGGGUGAGUAACAAGUUACUCAGUGAAGUGGUUCUAGCCCAGCCUGCCCGCUUGACACUCUAUACUACUCUAUGCGGGAACUAGGACUGACUAGCCACUACAAUCAGUUAAUGCAUUUUAUCAUUUCCUAACGUCAUCUAUUGAUUUUCCACAUUCACUUCCAUUCAUUUCUAACAACCUAGUGAUCAAUCAAUACAAUGAUCUCACUCAUUUCCACACACGUCAAACCCUAGGCUUAACCGACUCAUCAUACCAGUCCGACUCGAUCCUAUGACACCUUUAACUCCCUGUUACCCGACCAUGAGCUAAAAACCCUACAAUGCACAUCCUUUUCAUCUUUUCGUCCUUUUCAACAGUGGGUAGCCCCAACUAGGCUUCUACCCCAUAUUCUUGUGGAUUGGCCACAUCUCCUAUGGGUGCUUCCAUAUUCUUGUGGAUUGGCCACAUCUCCUAUGGAUACCUAGCGUGGACUACUACCCCACAUACUUUCCUUAGACCCUCUAUAUGCUUUCCCACCCAUGUUUAACCUUAACAUCAUUCUCUCAUACUUUUACUUAUCCUUUCACUUCCUUAUCAUUUUCACUUAUCCCUUCCCAUUCUCAUUUACCUUCCUUUUUCAUUCAUACUUGUACUUGGGACUCAAUUCACUAGACGCCACCCGCUAUCGGUGUCACACACAAUACACAUCGCAUUCAAGUUCUACUUCAAUAACUUUUAUAAUCAUUACUCGUCUAUCGUACUAGCAUUUAUUUCUCUCUAGCAUCCUAACUUCAAUCACAACAACACAUGGGACAACACAUCCAAACAUACUAGAAUCAACUACCAAUCAAUCAUCACCACAACAAUUCAAUUCAGUUCAUCGAGUCCCAUUUAUCAGUAUGAGGGUUCUUAUGCAUCAUGAUCCAUUCAUCUAUCAUCCUAGCAAUACCAUGUCCUAUCAACCUAACUCCCAAUCAGGGUCUAAUCAAACCUAACUCCAACAUAUAGGAGUAUACAGAAUCAUGAAAGAAGGUUGGGUUCGAGACACUCCACCUUAGUCUAGAUCUGGAUCUGGAUCUGUAAACACGGAUUUAAGAAGGUUGAGAUCUGGUCACCAACACCACUUCACGGCGCCGGCGAGAGGGAGAGAGAAAGAGAGCGUGCGACGGCGAGGAGAGAGAGAGGGUGUCAGUGAGGAGAGAGAGAGAGAGCGAUGCGCGGGAGAGAGAGAAGAGAGAGAGGCGGCGCAGGAUAGAAGGGGAGAGAGCUCGACGGCUAGGGUUUUCGGCCUCCGGGAAUUCUCUGCAGAGCUUCGCUUCAGAUUUGUGAUGAGGCAAAAAGGGAGGCUGCAUCUCUUUUUAUAGGAAAGGGGAAGGGAAACCCUAGGUUUUUGCCAAAUGGGCCGUAGAGAAGCCCAUAUUCUUUGGGAAAUUUUACGGGCCAGGAACCGGGCCGUUACAAUGAUGGAAGAGGACAGCAUAUAGCUGACAGCGUGUUUGAAGCGUCAAUGAUGGAGGAUCCGGUAAUGGUGGCGGCUGGAGUAAGCAAACAGAGGAGGCAGAGGUGGAGCUCUAGGGCAAGAGGCGGGGAGACGGAGUGUUGGUUCUAGGUUUAAUGUAGUUUUGGUUUUUUUUUUUUUGGUUUACAAUUAAACCAAUUUUGGUUUAAUGUUGUUUUGGUUUAAUGUGUGAACUGAUUUUAUCUGUAAACAGAUUAUAAUAUAAUGAAAUUUAUUUUUUUAUUUAUAUAAUUGAAAAUUAAUA